UACGUAGGGGGCAAGCGUUGUCCGGAUUUAUUGGGCGUAAAGAGCGUGUAGGCGGUCAGGUAGGUCCGUUGUGAAAACUCGAGGCUCAACCUCGAGACGCCGAUGGAAACCAUCUGACUAGAGUCCGGAAGAGGAGAGUGGAAUUCCUGGUGUAGCGGUGAAAUGCGCAGAUAUCAGGAAGAACACCCGUGGCUAAGGCGGCUCUCUAGUACGUGACUGACGCUGAGACGCGAAAGCGUGGGGAGCGAACAGG
rnacentral:rRNA from 1 species